rnacentral:rRNA from 1 species
UACGAGUGCCUCAAGCGUUAUCCGGAAUCAUUGGGCGUAAAGGAUGUGUAGGUGGUCCUGUUAGUCUCGCGUUAAAUUCUUCGGCUCAACCGGGGGCAUGCGCGGGAAACGGCAGGACUUGAGGAUGCAAGGGGUCGUCGGAACUCUCGGUGUAGCGGUGAAAUGCGUUGAUAUCGAGGGGAACACCAAAAGCGAAGGCAGACGACUGGGGCACUCCUGACACUGAAACAUGAAAGCGUGGGUAGCGAAUGGG